rnacentral:rRNA from 1 species
CGGGGUGGAGUAACGCGUGGGUAACCUGCCUCAUACAGGGGAGUAACAGUUAGAAAUGACUGCUAAUACCGCAUAAGACCACAGUACUGCAUGGUACAGUGGUAAAAACUCCGGUGGUAUGAGAUGGACCCGCGUCUGAUUAGGUAGUUGGUGAGGUAACGGCCCACCAAGCCGACGAUCAGUAGCCGACCUGAGAGGGUGACCGGCCACAUUGGGACUGAGACACGGCCCAG